rnacentral:rRNA from 1 species
GACGGGGGGUGCAAACGUUGUCCGGAAUCACUGGGCGUAAAGGGUAUGUAGGUGGAGUUGCAAGUCACUGGUGCAAACCUCUAGCUCAACCGGAGGAUAGCCCGUGAAACUGCACGACUCGAGUGUGGGAGAGGCAGAAGGAAUUCUCUGAGUAGCGGUGAAAUGCGUAGAUACAGGGAAGAACACCGGAGGCGAAAGCGUUCUACUGGAACACAACUGACACUGAGACACGAAAGCUAGGGGAGCGAAUGGG